UGUACACUAAAACAAAAAAAUUAAACUUAUAAGAGUGUAAGGGAAGAUGAAAGAGUGCUUAAAUAUAUAUAUAUAUAUAUAUAUAUAUAUAUAUAUAUAUAUAUAUAUAUAUAUAUAUUAUGGAGUCGAUUAAUCAUGAUUGAUCAUAUGCAAUGAAUGGGUUAUUUGUCACUGCAUUUAAAUUAUGUAAUAUUAGAUUAGAUUAGAUUAGAUUCAACUUUACUGUCACUGCACAUGUAGGUACAAGGCAACGAAAUGCAGUUAGCAUCUAACCAGAAGUGCAAUAAGCAGUAAGUACAGAAUAAAGGUCUAUUUCACUUUUCAGAAACGCUGUUCUGAGCUAGAUAUGCUUUAAAACAGCUAGUUUCAUCAUAUGCAUGCUCCUGGGAGCAUUUUAGGCAGAAUUGGUCACUUUUGCAUGAAAAGUUACAUUGCCACUAGAAAUAUGCUAUUCUCUCUCAGAAACGCUGUUCUGAGCUAGAUAUGCUUUAAAACAGCUAGUUUCAUCAUAUGCAUGCUCCUGGGAGCAUUUUAGGCAGAAUUGGUCACUUUUGCAUGAAAAGUUACAUUGCCACUAGAAAUAUGCUAUUCUCUCUCCGAAACGCUGUUCUGUGCUAGAUAUGCUUUAAAACAGCUAGUUUCAUCAUAUGCAUGCUCCUGGGAGCAUUUUAGGCAGAAUUGGUCACUUUUGCAUGAAAAGUUACAUUGCCACGAGAAAUAUGCUAUUCUCACUCAGAAACGCUGUUCUGAGCUAGAUAUGCUUUAAAACAGCUAGUUUCAUCAUAUGCAUGCUCCUGGGAGCAUUUUAGGCAGAAUUGGUCACUUUUGCAUGAAAAGUUACAUUGCCACGAGAAAUAUGCUAUUCUCACUCAGAAACGCUGUUCUGAGCUAGAUAUGCUUUAAAACAGCUAGUUUCAUCAUAUGCAUGCUCCUGGGAGCAUUUUAGGCAGAAUUGGUCACUUUUGCAUGAAAAGUUACAUUGCCACUAGAAACAUGCUAUUCUCACUCAGAAACGCUGUUCUGAGCUAGAUAUGCUUUAAAACAGCUAGUUUCAUCAUAUGCAUGCUCCUGGGAGCAUUUUAGGCAGAAUUGGUCACUUUUGCAUGAAAAGUUACAUUGCCACUAGAAAUAUGCUAUUCUCUCUCAGAAACGCUGUUCUGUGCUAGAUAUGCUUUAAAACAGCUAGUUUCAUCAUAUGCAUGCUCCUGGGAGCAUUUUAGGCAGAAUUGGUCACUUUUGCAUGAAAAGUUACAUUGCCACUAGAAAUAUGCUAUUCUCACUCAGAAACGCUGUUCUGUGCUAGAUAUGCUUUAAAACAGCUAGUUUCAUCAUAUGCAUGCUCCUGGGAGCAUUUUAGGCAGAAUUGGUCACUUUUGCAUGAAAAGUUACAUUGCCACUAGAAAUAUGCUAUUCUCACUCAUAAACGCUGUUCUGAGCUAGAUAUGCUUUAAAACAGCUAGUUUCAUCAUAUGCAUGCUCCUGGGAGCAUUUUAGGCAGAAUUGGUCACUUUUGCAUGAAAAGUUACAUUGCCACUAGAAAUAUGCUAUUCUCACUCAGAAACGCUGUUCUGAGCUAGAUAUGCUUUAAAACAGCUAGUUUCAUCAUAUGCAUGCUCCUGGGAGCAUUUUAGACAGAAUUGGUCACUUUUGCAUGAAAAGUUACAUUGCCACUAGAAAUAUGCUAUUCUCACUCAGAAACGCUGUUCUGAGCUAGAUAUGCUUUAAAACAGCUAGUUUCAUCAUAUGCAUGCUCCUGGGAGCAUUUUAGGCAGAAUUGGUCACUUUUGCAUGAAAAGUUACAUUGCCACUAGAAAUAUGCUAUUCUCCACUCAGAAACGCUGUUCUGAGCUAGAUAUGCUUUAAAACAGCUAGUUUCAUCCUGGGAGCAUUUUAGGCAGAAUUGGUCACUUUUGCAUUAAAAGUUACAUUGCCACGAGAAAUAUGCUAUUCUCACUCAGAAACGCUGUUCUGAGCUAGAUAUGCUUUAAAACAGCUAGUUUCAUCAUAUGCAUGCUCCUGGGAGCAUUUUAGGCAGAAUUGGUCACUUUUGCAUGAAAAGUUACAUUGCCACGAGAAAUAUGCUAUUCUCACUCAGAAACGCUGUUCUGAGCUAGAUAUGCUUUAAAACAGCUAGUAUCAUCAUAUGCAUGCUCCUGGGAGCAUUUUAGGCAGAAUUGGUCACUUUUGCAUGAAAAGUUACAUUGCCACGAGAAAUAUGCUAUUCUCACCCAGAAACGCUGUUCUGAGCUAGAUAUGCUUUAAAACAGCUAGUUUCAUCAUAUGCAUGCUCCUGGGAGCAUUUUAGGCAGAAUUGGUCACUUUUGCAUGAAAGUUACAUUGCCACUAGAAAUAUGCUAUUCUCACUCAGAAACGCUGUUCUGAGCUAGAUAUGCUUUAAAACAGCUAGUUUCAUCAUAUGCAUGCUCCUGGGAGCAUUUUAGGCAGAAUUGGUCACUUUUGCAUGAAAAGUUACAUUGCCACUAGAAAUAUGCUAUUCUCACUCAGAAACGCUGUUCUGUGCUAGAUAUGCUUUAAAACAGCUAGUUUCAUCAUAUGCAUGCUCCUGGGAGCAUUUUAGGCAGAAUUGGUCACUUUUGCAUGAAAAGUUACAUUGCCACUAGAAACAUGCUAUUCUCACUCAGAAACGCUGUUCUGAGCUAGAUAUGCUUUAAAACAGCUAGUUUCAUCAUAUGCAUGCUCCUGGGAGCAUUUUAGGCAGAAUUGGUCACUUUUGCAUGAAAAGUUACAUUGCCACUAGAAAUAUGCUAUUCUCACUCAGAAACGCUGUUCUGAGCUAGAUAUGCUUUAAAACAGCUAGUUUCAUCAUAUGCAUGCUCCUGGGAGCAUUUUAGGCAGAAUUGGUCACUUUUGCAUGAAAAGUUACAUUGGGUCUGUGAAGAUUUUAAACUAUAUAUAAGUACACAAGCCUUUUAUCGCGACGUUUCGACAACCUUCUGUGUCUUCUUCAGGCAUGACUUGUGUAAAAUACAUAUUUUCUUCACUGAGCUCAAUUUAAUUUGUACAUUUUAUUUCUAAACACCAUUUAGUCUCCUAGGCAUUUAGGGCCUAGGCUCCUCCCCUCUGUUUAUUUAUGCUGCCAUGCCCGGGGAGGGUUCACUGCGUUCACUUUGCCCCCAUAAUUUUUCUCUGCCCAGGAAGAGGCCACCUCGAAGGCCGAGGCCAAUUUGUUUAUUUUUGAAUUUUUACAUUUUUCAGAGCCUUUUCUUUGAAUAAAAGCUGUGUGUUUGUAAUAAAAGAAUCCAUCAUUAACUUUAAACUAUUUGUUUUUGCCUAAAAUAUGAGAUUUUAAACUAUAUACAAGUACACAAGCCUUUUAUCGCGACGUUUCGACAGCUUUCUGUGUCUUCUUCAGGCAUGACUUGUGUAAAAUAAAUGUUUUCUUCUCUGAGCUCAAUUUAAUUUUUUAGAAUUAAAAGCUCCUCCCCUC